rnacentral:rRNA from 1 species
GACGAACGCUGGCGGCGUGCUUAACACAUGCAAGUCGAACGGAAAGGCCCUGCUCUUGUGGGGUGCUCGAGUGGCGAACGGGUGAGUAACACGUGAGUAACCUGCCCUUGUCUUUGGGAUAACUUCAGGAAACUGGGGCUCAUACCGGAUAGAAGCUCCUGCUGCAUGGUGGGGGAUGGAAAGUUUCGGCGGUUGGGGAUGGACUCGCGGCUUAUCAGCUUGUUGGUGGGGUAGUGGCUUACCAAGGCUUUGACGGGUAGCCGGCCUGAGAGGGUUAACGGCGACAUGGGGACUGCGAGACGGCCCAGAAUCCUACGGGACGCAGCAGUGGGGAAUAUUGCGCAAUGGGCGGAAGCCUGAGGCAGCAACGCCGCGUGCGGGAUGACGGCCUUCUGGUUGUAAACCGCUUUCGCCUGUGACGAAGCGUGAGUGACGGUAAUGGGUAAAGAAGCACCGGCUAACUACGUG